rnacentral:lncRNA from 1 species
GCCCCCGCGCCCCGCCCCGGCCGCCCCCGGCUGCACUCCCCGAAGCGAUCCACGUCCCCGCUUCACCGACGCGGGAGCUCAGCCCCCAGGGGGGACUGGAUGACCGGCCCCGAGGUCGCACAGCUCGACUGUGGUGGGAGGAAAUCUUUCCUGAGCCCAGAAAGGUCCAACCCAAAGCCUGCUUCCCCGAGGCUGUAGGCCUCGCCUUUAAAAAAGAAAAAAAGGCGCCCGUGUCCUGUCUUUCUGGAAGGUGUGGCGCCUGCAUGCUGGGGAGCCGCUGGAGGAGGUCGGUGAGCUCAUCGAGGAAAGGCUGCCUGCGGAGACCUCCUGGCCGGUGUCACCGUUGAGAUCCCUCCCCGCUCCCCUGUUGCCUUUGCCCCACCCAGGAUCCUUGUCAGCACUUGUGAAUAGCUUACCUGACCUCAGCUGGAGAGUCCUAUUCCCCUUGUUGUCCUGACACUUUGCUCUUGUUGCUUUUACAGCACUUCUUAGUUUUCUUUUUGUGUUUUUUUUUUAACCUGUGCUAAUUGUUACGUGUGUACAUUUAUUAUUCACACCCCUGAACAAUCCCACAGAUUGAAGGACAUAAGGACUACAAUUUAUUUGUUUUUAUUUCCCUCCCACAGUACCUGGCAUACCUGGAUACCAAUGGUAUCCAAUAGUGAUACAUUUGAACCGUUGGAUUUGAUGUGGGGAGAAGGCAACAGUUAUCAUUUUAGAGCCCUAUAAAUAUUAGGCAACAUUGUAAGCACUUUGCAUGUAUUAACUCAUUUCAUGCCUAAAACGUCUUUUAGGUAGAGACUAUUAUUAUCCCCGUUUUAUGCAGAGAGAACUGAAGCAUAGAGUAAUUUUUAAGUGCACGGGUUGAGAAGUGCCUGAGGAGCUCAGCUCUCGGACACGGGAGUCAGAAACGGGACUUCUCCAAGCCCUUGGAGAAAGGCCUCCUUCGGGUUUACGAAAUUAGGGAGUGGCGCACACCCAGAACUCUGCCCUGAGCUGCUCGCCUCCCUUGAAAUAAAAAGAAAUUAAAAAGAGUCCAGUAUAGACCAGGGUAUUUAUUCUGCAGAGGCUGAAGGGGGCAGUGCUUCAGGGUCUGCUUUGACGGUAUUUGCAUACCUCGUAGCCAUGUUAAAUCCCAGAGAGAUUCCCCUCGGUGCCCGUGACUUUUAGAGCUGAGUGGGGGCGCCACGAGGAAGGCAGGAAGACAAGGUGCCUGUGAGGAGGGCGCCUGUCCACCAGAUGGCGCGCGUCCGCUGCAAACGGCGUCUGCCGCGCUCAGUGCGACGUAGAGGGGAGGGAAACGCGGGCAGGACCUUCCCUGGGUCCGUCGUGUUGUAGAUUUUCUGGGUGGGUCUGAAGCUGGUAUCAGCCUAGGGUAAAGAGGUACAACUAGGACUUUGUACCGGGAGGUAUUUAUGUCCACACAGGAGUGUUGCCGGGAAAAGCUAAGCUUGCCAUGGUGCGGGCAUAGCUUAAACCUGUUUGCCAUCCUGAGAUUCCAGGAAAGUUAGACAUGCUCAAGAG